UUCUGCCCUUCUGGGUCCUCUCACGUUUCCAAACAAUAGGCUGCUGGUUAAUAAUUCCUCCUAUUAAGCUUUUCUGUUUCGGAGAAGCUCAUGAUUUCCCUCUCCUGCUCUGCCCCGCACUGCCACAGGACCUGAGCCAAGGCGAGGCACCUAACUUGGAAGGCUGGAUAUCAAGUGGAAGAUGAUAGUAAACCCCAGAGAAUGAGUGGUGCUGUCUACAUGCUGAGUUUUACAACCUGAAUGCCCUGGCUGUCUUGGAAAUCAUUAAGUAGACCAGCCUGAUCUCAAAUUCACAGAGAUCCACCAGUCUCUGCCACCCAGAUUCUGGGAUUAAAGGCAUAUGCCACCAUGCCAGGACCCAGCUUCUCUCUCUCAAACAAGAACAAAAAGUAAGAAAGAAAAAUCUCCAACAAAAAGCAAUCUACAGAUUCAAUGCAAUGCCCAGCAAAAUUCUUCUCAGAUCUCAAAAGAAUGAUACUCAACUUUGUAUGGAAAAGAAAAAAAAAACAACAACAACAACAACUCAGGAUAGCCAAAACAAUCCUAUAAAAUAAAAGAACUUCUGGAGCCAUCACAAUCCCUGGCUUCAAACUCUACUACAGAGCUACAGUACUGAAAACAUCCUGGUACUGGCAUAAGAACAGACAGGAGGACCAAUGAAACCAAAUCAAAGACCUGGAUAUCAAUCCACACACCUUUGAACACCUGAUUUUUGACAAAGAAGCAAAAAAUAUAAAAUGGAAAACAGAAAGCAUAUUUAACAAGUGGUGCUGGCAUAACUGGAUAUCAACAUGUAGAAAAAUGAAAAUAGACCCAUAUCUAUCACUAUGCACAAAACUCAAGUCCAAAUGGAUCAAAGACCUCAACAUAAAGCCAGCCACACUGAACCUUAUAGAAGAGAAAGUGGGAAGUACACUUGAACACGUUGGCACAGGGAACCACUUCCUAAAUAGAACUAGCAGCACAGACACUGAGAGAAACAAUUAAUAAAUGGGGCCUCCUGAAACUGAAAAGCUUCUGUAAAGCAAAGGACACAGUCAACAAGACAAAACGACAGCCUACAGAAUGGGAAAAGAUCAUCACUAACCCCACAUCAGACAGAAGUCUGAUCUCCAAAAUAUACAAAUAACUCAAGAAAUUGGGCACCAAAAGAUCACAUAAUCCAAUAAAAAAUAACGGAGUACAGACCUAGACAGAGAACUCUCAACAGAGGAAUCUAAAAUGGCUGAAAGACACUUAAGGAAAUGUUUAACAUUCUUAGUCAUCAAAAAAAUGCAAAUCAAAACAACUCUGAGAUUCCAUCUUAUACCUGCAAGAAUGGCCAAGAUCAAAAACACUGAUGACAACUUAUGCUGGAGAGGUUGUGGGCUAAAGGGAACACUUCUUCAUUGCUGGUGGGAGUGCAAGCUGGUACAACCCCUUUGGAUGUCAGUGUAGUAAUUUCUUAGAAAAUUAGGAAACAACUUUCCUCAAGACCCAGUAAUACCAUUUUUGGGUAUAUAUCCAAAGGAUGUUCAACUGUGCCACAAGGACAUGUGCUCAACUAUGUUCAUAGCAGCAUUGUUUGUCAUAGCCAGAACCUGGAAACAACCUAAAUGCCCCUCAACCGAAGAAUGGAUAAGGAAAAUGUGGUACAUUUACACAAUGGUACACAAUGUGGUACUACACAGCAGAAAAAAAUAAUGACAUCUUGAAAUUUGCAGGCAAAUGGAUGGAGCUAGGAAACAUCUUAUUGAGUGAGGUAACCCAGGCCCAGAAAGACAAAUAUCAUAUGUACUCACUCAUAAGUGAUUUUUAAACAUAAAACAAAGAAAAACCAGUCUACAAACCACAAUCCUGGAGAACCUAGACAACAAGUGAGGACACUAAGAGAGACUUCCAUAGAUCUAAUCUACAUGAAAAGUAGAAAAAGACAAGAUCUCAGAGUAAAUUGGGAGUAUGGGGACCAUGUGAGAGGGUUGAAGGGGAGGGGGAGGCAGAAAGGGGAGCAGAGAAAAAUGUAUAGCUCAAUAAAAUCAAUUAAAAAAUGUUUCUUUUCCUGAGGGGAAAAAAUCUCCAACAAAAAUGAAAAUCAAAACAAACAGGCAAAAGAUCAAUUAGACCAAAAAAAUCAAAAUAAGGCAAAAAAAAAAAAACAAAAGCUCACAAAAUUUCAUUGACCUUAUUUUGAUGGUAUGGGGCCUGUCCUAGAAUGUGGUUGAUAAACCCGGGGACACUUCAUCGGGAGGCCUGAUUCUGAAGGUCAGCACCUAGCUCCCUGAAUUCCUUUUCAUUUAACAGUAAGAACUAGUCCCUGCCCAUCCCUACAGGGGUGCUUUAAAUCUCGAGUCACAUGGCUCUAAAGCUGUACUGAACAUAAUUUAAUUUCUCCUUGAUAAUUCUGAAGGGUACGUCAUGGUAUUGUAGUUCCUGAGAGUCAACAUGGGGACCAUUAAUUACCACUUCACUGUGGCUAUGCAGACGUGCUAAUCAACAGUGUGGUGGGAGCCAGUCUGCAGCCUCGAAGGAUGGAGAAGAUGAGAUGCAGAAUGUCCCAUCCGCUGUCACACGCUGUUUUUCCUUUGGGAACCCUGGCAGGGACGCAGUCGAGACCAUCUCUCCCUUAAGUAAAUUUAUUAUGGUGUAAAUGGUAGCACGGUGCCAGAAAUCUCAGUCAUGUUCCUCAGUGGGAUAAAAGCUUACCAUUUUCACUGUAAGGAAAAUCGAAUGGAGGUCUUAGCUCAAGCAGAAAGAAAUGGAGUGUAGAAAGCCCCGUCUCUCAUCCGCCCUGUGCUAUUGACUUCUGAGUAGCAUUCCAGCUGUAUUUAUCUGGGGUUUGGGAAUUUUUUCCUAGUUCCUGUGAAGAAAGUUAACGAAACCAUAUGACUUCUCUGGCAGGAGACACGAUUUCACACAAAAACUUUCUUGCGAAGAACUUCCAUAUUGCUUCCCCUGGUGGAAUCGCUGUCUCCAGGGAAAGCCUGGUUCUCCAACAGCGGUUCUUUUGAAUGAAAGUGAGGACCAAGUGCCAAGCUCAGCAGCCUCUGCUUCUCCAGGAACAGCCUUUAGCUUCACUGUUUAUGGGUGAUGUCAUGCUAGAUAAAAUUUUUUGAGAUUUUUUUAUAUUGUUCUAUUUUGAAAGCAUUAGAAACAUUUUAUAAUAUUUCUUAAAACAGUAAGUAAAUAUAGAGGCAGGGAUGUAACAGUUGGUGAGCGCUCGCCUGAUAUUCACGAAGUCAUGGGUUCUAUCUCUGACACUACAACAAAGAAGGCACAUAUGGUUGUCCCCCUAAACCUCAGUCACAGCACCCCCUAAAGAUAAAAUACUACUAUCUUUGCUCUUUACAUGAAAUUGGAGGUGGGAAUGGCCACUGGCAGAGACCGAUAAUUAUGUGAUUUAUUCCAGAGAUGGAUGUUUGUAAAAGUUAGUGUUUUUAAAUGUCAAAAAAUGCAUACGCCAUAUAUACGCACAAAAUAUAUGUGAUCUAUAUUUCAUAUAUGAUUUUUAUAUGUAUAUAUGAUAUAUGUGUGCCCGCAUAUAUGAGGAAGGCAGUUACCAGCCAUCCCUGCUAGCAGAAAAAAGCAAAAUCACUUCAACACUAAAGAAUGAAGUCACCAACCACGGUUCAGUGCAGAGGUGACAGGUGUCCCUUAUGCUACCACACAUCAAAGGAUCGGGAUUCAAACCACGGGCUGUCUGAUGCUGGCCCUCAGGGUGUAUACUACCUACAGGAAAGAUUUUUAGAGCACAUAUGUUGGUAAUCACAGUGGUAAGAUGGGAUUGAGAGGUUUGGCAGGUAGCUACUGCAGGCAGCAUGCUCAUCUGGUGUGGAAAGGAAAACAUCAAAGCCGGACAUCGAAGGGACUACGUUGAUGACGCUUCGUUUCUUCAGCAGCACUGAUGGGGAACAGGAAGCCAAUCCAGUCGUUUGUGAAAUCAAAAUGGACAACCGCCACAGCAUCAAAUAGACUGUUCUUAAUAAUAUUACAACACCAACUACUGCUUUUACUUGCAAAAUUAUGUACACCUUGUAGAGAACUUGAGAGAAACAGCUGCGGUACCUUUUCACGCACGCAAAGUGACCUCCUCCCUUUUACUGCAAGCCGAUGAGAACUGGAAUGUUUGCCUAUAUGACCUUAACUAGCCCUUCCCCACCUGCAAGUCUGUUGAAGAGCCCUCAGAAAGACUGCAGUAACCAAAUAGGAAAGGCAAUAGCAAGAAGAAAGACCAGCUGGGGACCUGCAGCCUGCAAGCAAUCGCUACCACUUACUGGUGUUUACAUUUAAACCCUUAAUUUCAUCUGCUGCCCCAUACGAGAUUCUCGCUUGGGUAAAAGUGUUAAGAAAUGAGACCAGCAGAAGACAGAAUGCAGUGUCUACAAAUCGGUAGAGAUGGCAAUUUUGUAAUAGCUUUAUGCUGGAAGAACGGCCCUCAAUAGAGAGAGAAUAUAGGUUGUCCAGUUACAAAUUGUGUAAUAAUGUCAAUCAAUUCUGCUGGUUCUCCUGAGCCCAGAUUUCAUUUCCUUUCUUGCUUUCUUUUUGAUGCAGGGUCUUGCUCUGUAGCCCAGGCUGGCUAAGAAUGGGAAAUCCUCUGCCUGCCUCCAUCUCCCUCGUGCUGGAAUCCCAAGUGUGCACCACCAGGACACUUGCCCUGCUCAGCAUUUCUCGACUGGGAAAAUUACAUACACCUAGCUCUCACUUGGCAAAGAUGCAGAGCAGUAGACCUAGUUGUCACCCAACAGCCAGCGGGAACACUGCACAGCUCUCUGAGAAGCCGGAUGGGGGCGUGCACACCAGCUUUGGAAGCUGGUUUCUGCAAGAGGGUGUGCACAUCUGGAAGAGUGGGAGGUGUCUGAGGCUCUCCAACUGUCACUUCGCACACUUGGUUCCUUCUCUUUCUCAGCACUAAAGGAUUUCCUGGCAACACGGAAGACCAUGCCAAGAUGGCUUGCAUCAUUCACAUUCCUAACCCAAAAUUGUCAUGGAGCUGGCCCUUGGUCAGCUUGGGGCUAGGUUUCCUUCACUCCUCAAGAGACUAUCUAGGGAGCACACACCAGCUGGGAUGAGAGGCCUGGCAGCUAUGCCAUAGACUCUCUUGCUACUGUUUAUCUUGUGCCAAGAGGCAGAACAGAUCAGGGUUAAGGACCACAGGUUAAGAAGUCAAAAGACCUGUUUCCCAGGCCAGCCUAUGCUGUGUACCUCCUCCAAAUCUCAUCUCCCUCAACUGUAAAAGUUGAUCUUGUUCCUACAUAUCUCAUAGGGUUCUUAGGAGAAAAAUGACCACACACAUUGAGUGCUGUCUCCAUGUUGAGGUUUAGUUCAAGAACAAUUUGUUCCUGUCUCCAACUCCUGAAGUAUUAUUAACCUCUCUCACUAAAAAUGUAGCAACCGAAACAGUGUUUCCAGGAUCCUCCAGGUGUGACAUGCCCACGGCACUCACGAAGUUAGAACAGUUUUGUUAAUCCUCACAAGAUGAAGCCUGUCAACAUUCCAUCACGGAUGGGGGAGCAACUGGAGAGGUUCCACAGCUCCAAGGGCCUAGUUCUCCUGGCUCCAUCCCAGCAAGCUGGGUGGGUAAGUUUGUCAAAGAUGAGAGUGACCUUAUCAACUUUAGGUACUUGUGAGCACGCCUUCACGCAGGAGAACAAGCAAAAAUGAGACAAAGAAUGGCUUAGGACAGAGGUGGCCAUCUGUUGUUUAGACCAUCUGUAAGUAUGAGAGAGAAACACUAGGAAAUCAGGAUUUGCGGUUUGCCAGAGCCUUCAGGAUCUGACUGGCUAUGACGGCAGAAGCAGCAAGGUUUGUGAAAGCAGGGACAGAUGCUGCCGUGCAGGAACCCUCCGCAACUUUACAGGUUUUCAUGGUGACAAUGACAACUUCCUCACAAUGACUGAGUAUUACUUCACUAGCAAACACGAACUUGAGAGUCUCAGAGUUGUUUUACAUUAGCAAUUUCGCCACUAGUCCAUUGCCCAUGCUUAGGUAAAUAACCCCUCAUCCUGGCCAUGUAAGCAACCCUAAAUAACCAUACGGAUCUCUCUGUGUGUCUCUGUCCCCCUCUCUCAUUGGCAUAUACACAAAGACAUGAAAUUAGGAGGAAGACUGGGAAAAGAAGACUCUCACUGGAAGAGUGGAAGAGUGACAAGAGAGGGUAAUGAGUGUGUGAACACAGUCAAAGACAUUAAAUGCAUUUAUGAAAACAUCAAAGAAUUCAUUAAAAAUAUUGUGAAAAAGAGCAGUUUCCAUUACCUGACUGUAGAACAAAAACCAUAGCUAUUUUGGC